UUUUAGGGUCGUAGUUCCUGUCAACAACACAAACGUGUGCUUCGAACGCUCAAGGGGCAGAAAACUCCAGAAAUUCCUUCAGGAAAACGCGAUAUACUGGAAUUUACUUCAGAUAAAGAGGUAUAAGAAAACCCACUUGAUUGCCAGCCAUGGAAAAGCCAGAGAAGCCAGAAGCCCCAAAGUCAUUGGCUAUGGUGUAUGUGUGUGGAGAAUGCCAUGCUGAGAACGAGAUGAGACCUCGCGACCCGGUGAGAUGCAGGAGUUGUGGCUACCGCAUCCUGUACAAGCGGCGGACAAACCGUCUAAUUGUGUUUGACGCUCGAUAGGGCUUUUGCCAAAUGUCUCCUUUCUUGCCUAGCCCUUAAGAUUGAAACUAGUAGCUAGUAUACUAUUCUUUAAAAGAAAAAAAAAAAACCUGUAAGGUUAUGAUAAUAAAAUGACCUGAAAACAUG
rnacentral:lncRNA from 1 species